rnacentral:rRNA from 1 species
UACGGAGGGAGCUAGCGUUGUUCGGAAAGACGGGGCGUAAAGCGCACGUAGGCGGCGCAGCAAGUCAGGGGUGAAAUCCCGGGGCUCAACCCCGGAACUGCCCUUGAAACUGCAGUGCUAGAAUUCUGGAGAGGCGAGUGGAAUUCCGAGUGUAGAGGUGAAAUUCGUAGAUAUUCGGAAGAACACCAGUGGCGAAGGCGACUCGCUGGACAGACAUUGACGCUGAGGUGCGAAAGCGUGGGGAGCAAACAGG